rnacentral:rRNA from 1 species
AGUGAACGCUGGCGGUAGGCCUAACACAUGCAAGUCGAACGGCAGCACAGUAAGAGCUUGCUCUUACGGGUGGCGAGUGGCGGACGGGUGAGGAAUACAUCGGAAUCUACUUUUUCGUGGGGGAUAACGUAGGGAAACUUACGCUAAUACCGCAUACGACCUACGGGUGAAAGCAGGGGAUCUUCGGACCUUGCGCGAUUGAAUGAGCCGAUGUGGGAUUAGCUAGUUGGCGGGGUAAAGGCCCACCAAGGCGACGAUCCGUAGCUGGUCUGGGAGGAUGGUCGGCCACACUGGAACUGGGACACGGUCCAGGCUCCUGCGGGAGGCAGCAGUGGGGAAUAUUGGACAGUGGGCGCGAGCCUGAUCCAGCCGUACCGCGUGGGUGAAGGAGGCCUUCGGGUUGUAAAGCCCUUUUGUUGGGAAAGAAAAGCAGCAGGUUAAUACCCCGCUGUUCUGACGGUACCCAAAGAAUAAGCACCGGCUAACUUCGUG